GCUCAGGCUCUGAAUGUCCUCAAUUCUAAAUUCCAACAAGAGAGCAAAGAGAAGAUGCCUCCUCUUUUCCUCCCAGACACCCCUACUGGAGUUCAUGAACAAGCCUAUGGACAGACCAUCCUUGGAUCAAAUAUGCUCCAUCAGUCCAAUCUGGUCUUGUCAUACCAUCACUGACUCAGCAGGGCAGAGGCUGUGAGGGGAGGCAUCCUAGCCCAGCUCAUAACACCGUGGACAAGAAAAUGGCAAACACUACACCAGUGAGCUGUUGCUGUCAGGGAGGAUGCUCAAGAGAAGACACAGGACCUGUGAUGGCAGCUGUAUCUCCAACAAAUGGGGGAUCCUGUUUUUACUUCAAUCCAGAACAACUUGAAGGUGGACUGCUCUGAGAACAUGAUAAUUCCUGCAGCCUCUCUGAAGAUGUCCUGAAGAACUGAGCAAUCAACAGGACUGGCCACAAAGCUGGGACCAGCUUGGGAAGCUACCCCUUUGUAUUUGCUCUUUCUCCUAUGCUGCCUCACUCUCUUUUUCCUUCACUAGUAUUUCCCUAGGAUGACAAUCCCCGUUAAAGUGAUCACACAUACAAUGUUGCCUCAGACUUUGUUUUCCAGGCAAACAGUGGGCUAAGACAAGUGGCAUCCCUAAUGAUGCACGAUUUGUAGGUGACAGAGCUGUGAUUUGAACCCAAGCCAACUUCAACUAUGAUACACAGAUGCAUGGAGACCACAAGUAGCCAUAUAGACAAAAGAAAGAGUCAGAUUCUAAUGAAAAAACAAUGAUAGGCCUGUCUGAAUUCCUAAACAAGAAAUGAGUGGAGCAAAGCCAGGAGAACAAGUGCCACGUUCUGUAAUUUUGGCUGUCUUCAUCCAGAGGAAGUUAAAGCUACUGGGUCUUCUGCCUCCCUUCUUUCCAUCAGAACAAACUGUCUCACAAUAAUUGGUGGCCUUGAUUUAUCCUAGGAGAAGAAAUUGAAGAAAUGAAGAUAGAGUGUGUUUCUGUGUGUAAUUUUCACUCUGUUCUAGGUUCCUUCUAGUGCACUACCUCUAAAAUGGGUACAAAACAUUAUUGGCUACUUCUCAAGAGAUUGUUUACACUAGCUCUUUGGUUUUUAAGAUAAAGACUUCAAUUUAAGGCUCUUGACCACAAAACACCAAUUACCACGAUUGUUGCAUCUUUUAUUACCCUUAUUAUCUUCUCACUCGAUAGGGAUUCUUCAAAAAAAUUUAAGUAAAAAGUCUCCACAUGAGCAAUAACAACAGAACAGUCUCCUGGAAAGUCCAUCAUCUUUAGCAAAGAGACGCAAUUUUUCAGAUGUGCCUAUCUUUGAUUUCUUGUACUGUCGUUAGGGGCUUUAGAUGUUUACAUUGAGCAUUGACAUUCCAUAAUGAAGAAAAGAUCUCCAACAUACAUUGGCCAGCUCUGCCUCAUGGGUAUAGAUCUAAUUUUCUCCAAUAGUGGAAGAUGGGCCACACAUUACCAAAUAAAUCUGUUCCAGCUUCCCUUGUAGCAAACUGUGCAUCUUCUCCCUGGAUUACUAUUAAACAGAUGAAACAAUAA